GGGUCUUUCUUCCUCAGGGAAACAGAAUCAAAACGGAGACCCCAUCGGAGCUGGGUCAGCGGCCCCAUCCCUACACUGCACCCCUGAAGCCCUGCAUGGAUUCAGUGGACAGGGCGUUGGUGGCUCAAGUUUCAUUCAGGGUCCUAAAGAGACAUCCAAGCCGGUGUCCACGGCGAGAAGAAAUACGGACGAGUCGGCUUGAGAUCCCGCACGUGCAUCUCACACGAAGCAUCAAAGGACGCCAACGCCGGAGAGAAUGGUUCCCGGGACGGAUUCACGCCAUGAACCCCUCCCCGCCUGCGUUUGAUGCCAAAUUCAGACCUGGCGGAAUUCCUGCCUGCUUGGGGAAUUCAAAGUGUUACCAUCCUCUAGCCGGCUAUGACGAUGGUGACAAAACCAGGAAGGCUCCCCUCAAGCCAACAGUGGAUGGAGCUGACGGUGCAGGUGAGCACAGGACUGGCACCAACAGAUGCGGGGAGGGAGACAGACCCCCGAUGCUCAUCACCUCCUCCCUCUGACUCCCUCACUCUGUGCCCACGGGCCCUCCCCAUCCCUCUUAGGAAGGGGGACCGGUGCCCACCCCCACGGCUGACACCGUCCGUGUCCUCCUUGGCUUGGCCGCUAGAUACCUGACUUCUCUGCACAGAUGCCCAGACUCACACCCGCAGCAUAUGGGGGUUCCCGGGCCAGGGGCUGAAUCCAAGCUGCAGCUGCCAGCCUUUGCCACAGCCACAGCAGCAGUGGAUCUGAGCCACAUCUGUGACCUACCUUGCAGCUUGCAGCCACACCGGAUCCUUAACCCACGGAGCGAGGCCAGGGAUGGAGCCUGCAUCCUCAUGGACACCAGACAGGUUCUUAACCCACUGAGCCCCAACAGGAAUGCGACCUCUUUUUAAUAACAGCCCAGAAAGUGGCAAUGGCAGAAGUUCUAAGGAGGCAGAGGCUGGUCUGAGGCUGGUCGGCACGGCUCUGGGGCUGGUCUACACAAGUUUUCUCAUAACCCCUCUUGCAGGGUCCCUGCCAAGUGCCAGCCCCCCAGGCAGGGGCGCAGGGCAGAGAGGCCAGGGCAGCAGGGUGGCUGAUUCAUACCUGUUUUUUCUCCUUUGCGGCAGCUCUGCCCACCCCACCAUGCCCUCUGCCACUUCAGGUGCCUGUGAUCAACCCACCAGUGCAGCCGGUUUGCCCCCUGCCCCAAAGCUCACUGUGCCUCUGGGAAGUCGCCCGUCCUGCCCAGAGGACGGGCGCCCCCAGGUUCUGAUGUCGGCUGCUCAGGACUCCCAAGCGCCUCCUUGACCAGGGACCACCCCCACCCCGACUUCAUGGGAGCCCUGGCCUGGACCGUCACACCUGCCUGGGUGACCACAGCUAGUGCCUGACCAACCCGGGGUACCAAAGGCCCCGUGGUGUCCUCAAGGCGGGGCCAAGUCAGUGGUACAGUGGACACUCCAGAGCUCCCCAAGGGAUCAGGCCCCAGCUGGGACCACGCCCUGCUGAGCUGUUCCCCCCCCAUCCUGCUGCAUGACUUCCUUUCCCUCGAGAGGCCGCUCUCAGGAACCCUUGCCUCAAGCUCUGCAUCCAGGAAACGUGACCCAAGACCCCGCCCUGUUGUAUCUCUGGCUUUGCUGCCUCUGCCUCCUCAGUGGAAAGACAGCCUUCCCUUGUUUGGGGCUGAACUGUGUCCCCCAAGUAGCCAUAUCCUGGGGUCCUGACCCCCCAGCCCCUCAAGAUGUGACUAUACAUGGAUCUGGGCCUUUAAAGGGGUGAUUUAAGUAAAACAAGGUUUCUGGGCUGAAGCCCCGAUCCCGUAGGACCGGGGUCCUUAGAGGAAGAGGAGGUCAGGACACAGACAUACCCAGACGGACGGCCCUGCAAGGACACGGGGAGCAGACGGCUGUCUACACGCUCAGGAGAGAGGCCUCGGGAGCCACCAGCCCUGCCCACCCCUGGGGCUCGGACGCCAGUCUCCAGAACGGGGAGACAGUGACUGUUUAAGCCUCUCGGGCUGUGGUGCUUUGUGACGUAGCUCAGCAAGUUCCACGGAGCUCUGCUCUCACUGAGUGUCCAUUUAUCCCUUCAGAAUCCAGCUGGAAUAUCAUCCCGGGUUCUCUGAGACAUUUCUCUGGAACAUUCUUGUGUCUCUCUUUAUAGAUGUGUGUGUGUGUGUGUGUGUGUGUGUGUGUGUAUAUAGUAUAUAUAUAAUAAAUUAUAAUAUAUUAUACAUAUAUACUACAUACCCACAAAUAAAGGUAUUACAUGCAAGCAAAUCUAUUUACAUAUAUGUCUGUGUGUAUGUAUACAUACAUGUAUAUAUAAUAAUAUAUUAUACAUAUAUAAUACAUACAUAUAUAUGUUAUAUGCACACAAAUCUAUUUACAUAUGUGUGUGUAUGUAACAUAGAUUUGUAUGAGUAAUAUAUAAUAAUAUACGUAUAUAAUAUAUACACGUAUAUAUGUUAUAUAUACACAAAUCUACAUGUGUAUAUAUAUGUAGUAUAUAUAUGUAUAUAAAAUAUAUAAUAACAGAGUAUACAUAUAUAAUAUAGACACACAUAUAUGGUGUAUACACACAAAUCUAUUUACAUAUAUGUCUGUGCGUCUGAGGUAUAUAUGUAUAUAUAAUAUAUAAUAACACAUUAUACAUACACGCUAUAGACACACAUGUACUAUAGUAUUAUAUGUACACAAAUCUAUUUGCAUAUAUAAAAUUUCAUCCUCGCUGGCCUUACGGGAGUCACACACACUCCUGUCCCUCCAGGGGGGAGUUUGUUUCCAGCGCCUCCAUCCUUGCCUUCCACGCAGGACCUCGUGGAGUCCCCAUCGAUGCUCGUCCAGCUAAAACGGGCUGGGCCGGUCCUUGACUCCCCAGGCCGACCACCUUUUUCUCUUCCCCAGCCGGCCCAGGUCAGGGGCAGCCCUGAGAGUGACCCCAAGCUGGCACGGGGCCCAGGACAGGUUCCCAGCCAGCUCGCCAACCCCGGCUCCAUCGCGACAGCCCUGGAGCCAGACGCUGGGCACUUAAAUUUCUCUCCACGGGGCAGCGUCUUCCUGGGGAGUCGCCGACCGAACACACCUCACCAAGAAGCUGACAGACGAAACCGAGCACCUGAAUCCGUCUCGGUUCCCCGGGGCCCCUAAUCUGGGGCUGCCUGCCCCCCACCCCGCCCCCGCAGGAGCCAGGCUGCUGGGCCCCGGAGGUCCCUCGCCCUAUACGGCCCAGCCAAGGCUGCCUGGGUCCAAAUCAGCAACCAUCAGCCUAGAUGCUGGGGGGUUUUCUUCCCUAUUGAAAUGGAUCUUUGGAGAGCCAGUCAAGGGGAAAGAAUGCAAAAGGAUGCAGUGAGUGUGGUCCCUCUCGGUGAGAGGCCCCCCAUGACACGGGAACGGGAACGUGAAACACAGGGACUCCCCCCCCCCCCCCCCCCGCACGCUUCUUCCCAUUACCUAUAAACCACACCGUCGGAGAAACUACCCAUCUGUUCUCCCCGAGAAGCGGGGAGAAAGCCUCCAGAGCGAGGCACAUUCCCAGCAAACGUUGUCCAUUGUCAGCAGCCGAGGUUUUGAAGUCCAGGUCCGAGCCCCUCUCCCUGCACCCCCCUCCCCGUAAGAAUACUAAGAGCUGCUUUGUAUGAGCUGCCUUUGGGCAGAAGGGGAAGCUAAUGCAAAUAUCAUCGGAUGGAUUAUGGCGGCUUGGCCCCCGCCUUCUGGACAAUAGAUUUCUCGCCAGACGCAACAUCAGCCACGGCCCGCAGCCAGGUUGCAUUUUUAAAAGGACUUUUGUGCAUUUCGCUCCUUCUUGGUACUUAAGCGGCCCUGAAAAGACAUCAAACGUGUUUAGUGCAGAUAUUCAGAAUAAAUGAAACCCCCUUUUUUUUUUUGGCCCUGUGCGGUUGCCUUUGUAAUAUCAGUCGUCUUAUGUGUUGCAAACUUAUGUAACUUAAGACGAAAAGACAUUUUAUAGCCUCCCGGCGGAAUGAUGGGAAAGGGACAGCAUACCUGCAGCUCCUAUCCGCCUGGGAAGGAGCCUCGGUUCGGGCCAUGGGAAAGGGGACGUUCGCGCUGCUCCUUGGGACUGACCUCCUGCCUUCCAAUAUCCCCAUACAGCGACUUCUCCUACAAGCAUGUAAAAAAAUACCUCGGUUAGUUGGUUGUGAGGAAAGAACAUGGGAGCUGGGGGGUCACCGAGACCUGUGGGAGGUUCGCCCAGGAAUCCCUUAAGCAGGCGGUUUCGGCGUAGACGUGUAUCAAUUUUCGUGUCCCUCUCUGAGUUGGUGGCAUUAAAGGCAAGUGGGAGUGGAAAACAGGAAAGUAGGAAUCCAUGUGUGCGAGUCACCUCGUCUUAAUGGGCCUCAGAUGACCCAGCGGGAAAAUGGGUCUGAUUCUACCCAGUGCAUCCGGUUGUUGCGGAUCGUAAUGAAUGCCUGAAAAGGGUUUGAGAGCCUUGGACGAGAAUCGACCACAAACACAGAGGGUUAUUGUGGAAUCCAAUCGAUGCCUUCCUUUCUCAGCGAAAUGCGGUGGCCGUCACCGCACCUGCAUCCCUUCUGGCCAUGCCCACUUCCAGGAUGCCCCAUCCGCUAGGCGCCACACCUGCUUCUGAGCCCCUCUAAAGCCCUCCGAUUUCUAUGGGCCACUCAAGAGGCCUCUAGAUAUUAGUCAUUUAUUCUGAACACACUCCUAGCAGCGUGAUUUCCAGGAGGGAAAACACAUCUUUGUGUCUCCUGCGGAUUCUUGUUCAUGUCUUCAGCAGCAGCAGCAGCAGCAGCAUGUGGGGAUGAAGGCGGGACCCACCACACCUGGCUCGGAUGGUGCCCAAUCGCAAUGGUCUUUCUUAAAGAACAGCUCAAGAGAGGUCUUGGGCUGGUCCUCUUUCAUGCAUUCUUUUGCGUCAUGACAAACUAGAGCCACCGGCCGUCAUCCCCAGGACAAGUCCCACCCCCCACCCCCGGUCACUGAGGGACAGGCCCUCCGUGGGCACUAGACCUCCAUACAGCUCCUGCCCACUCCCCUGCGUCUAUCUCCAGACUCACUUGGCCCUGAUCUCACUUUGUUCCCUCCAGGCUCCUGUCCCACCAGCCAAGCCAUUUGCCCACGUCCAGGAGGUUAGGAGACUCUUGUUUCUGGGCAGUGGUCCUUCCUUGUGCGGUGGACGGCCAGCGUGCUGCCUGAGAGAUGCCCCACUUUCAGAGCUACUCCUCAGUGGGGGUGAAACGCAAAAGGAGGCAGUCUUCCGCCCUCUCCAACACAUGGCGCCAACCCUCUGGGAACCAGGUCCGAGUUCCUUUCCCUCGGUGGGUUGCAGAGCUCAUCGCCCCAUCAGACCAGAGGUGCGAGCCAAGGGAGGGAAGAGGUGCUGCAGAGACGUGGGAGUUGAGGUACUUGUUCAUGUCACUUACGCCUUCCCGACCUGCGUACACCCGGUCCCCACGCCCCCUGGGUGUCGCAGUAUAGUCCUGCUCUGAGACUAGGGGGGGAUCCAGCCAGCUCACGCGGGACACCUGGCCAUGAGCUGUUCUUCAAAUGGCAAGUCGUUCCCAUUGUCAAGAGCGCAU
rnacentral:lncRNA from 1 species